GCCCCGCUCCGCCGCGCUCCGGGCGCGGCCCCGCCGCUCCCCCCGAAGGAAAAGGAGCCGGGAGCGCGCGCGCCGCGGCCGCCGCCACCAAUCCCCGGCGCGCGGGAGCGCGCGCGGGGCCGGGAGCGCGCUCGGAGGCAGCGGCGGAGCGGGGAUGCGAAGAGGGAUGAGGAGAUGGGAGCGGGGAUGGCACCGGCAGCGGCGAUGGCACCGUCGCUUGUGUGUGUGUGUCCUCGCUGCCUUGACCGCCCCUGCCCCGGCCCGAGCGCUGCCGCAGCGCCGCGGGAAGCGGGGACGCGCCCGGUCCCCGCCGGGAUGCCCGGCCCCGGACCAGCCCCCCGCCCGCCAGGCCCCGGGGGGGCAACGACGGGGAAAAAAAGCUGUUAAAAAUACCGCUUCCAUCCUUUGGCCACGAGUUAGAACCGUUUCAGCAAACUGCUGUCAGUUCCGCAGAACGGAAUUACUUCAGCUGUAAUCUCACGAGCUGGCCACAGGCGAGCCCCAGACAUCACGUUCUAUGUAACGUUACUUCCAAAUUCUGUGCAGAAUACUUGUCUUUUCUCUGAAAUAAUUAAAUGCCCGCUAUUUGCUUGAACCUUUGAUUUUUCCCUCCACAUUGCUGCACAUCUGCAAGACCACCAAAAACAGGAGCACUAAAGUAGAUCAGGAAACAAGAGGAUGCUGAACUGCCAGUCACAAGCCAAUGUCAACCUAUAAAACUUUGUACGUAUUCCUGGCAAGGCCAAAAGGAAAGCAGGAACUGGAGUUAACCAGGAAUCACGGAAACAGCAGUGAAAAGAAGCCUUGGACACGGGUAAUGCACAGCAGCAGGGCCAACAAUGCCACUUAACAACUUCAUGUCCAUAUUCCAUUAAAUAGAAAAUCUCUGCAGGGAAAGGGAGUAAAUUGGAGCGCACUGGAUUAGCUGUAGCUGGGGAAAGUGUAGUGUAAAUGUCUGAUUAGAGAGAAACUACAGCAGAGUUAAUUUUCCAGCUGCAACUGUAGUUUUGUAACUGUCAACAAAGAGCAGGAGUUUUAAGGGGCAAUCCGGGAAGCAGCAGGGAAGCAUCUCUCAGCUUUUCAAGGUUAAUUGAGAAAAGGGGAGAGCCGAGCAUACUGGUAGAGCUUGGUAAAUUACAGGCAAUGGGGCCGCUUGAGGACUGCAUCUAUUCACAGGAGUGAAGAAGAUUCAGAGCCACAACUUCUCCCUGGCCUCAUCUUUUACCAUGGCAUUUCGCUGAUUUCAAGACGUGUCCUUGUCUCUAAUGCUGUGGUCAAGAUUUUAAUGUACUAUGCAUAACGGUGUCUUGAUUCUGCAGAGAGACUUGUGAACAGACAUACUGCAACAGUCAUUUUACUGGAAAUAAUAUCUCUGCUUGAAAAUAAACUAGAUGGCAAAAAUGAAUGCUAGAGAUAUAUUAAAAAGACUUGCAGUUAAGUAAUGAGUUGUCCCUAUCAAGAAGAAAGACAGAAUUACACGUUUUGAUGAAUGCAAGUUUCAGUGAAAAAGAACCAGCCCAUCCACCUUGUAAGAAUUAUAGCCUGUCUUUGAGAUGGCUCAAAUGCAAGCACUGAGCAGGUAGAAAGCCACUUGCUAUAUGCUUGAACAGCUCUGAACAAUUCAGUGUCAUCAACAAGUUUGCAGUUCUGGAAGAAGAAGAGGAGGAAAAAAAAAGAGAUGGAAAGUCCUUGUAGGUAAUAUCUGCUCAGUGGAAAAUAAAGAAAAAGUGAAGACUUUUACAGGCACGGAACACUGUUGUACUUCAGAGGAAUUGCUGCCUGCAAAUGAGAAUGUUCAGUAUGCACAGCCAUCCCUAAUGGAACCCCAUCCCCACCCAGAACUCCUCAGAAUUCCCCCUGUGUGCCAUGGUGUGUGCCUGCAGUGUGUUCUGCACGCAGCAGGCUCUGGACUUACAGACCUAACCUCCUUUUUUCCUAUAGUGCCUUUGCUGGCCACAAAUAUUUCAAAGGAAUUCUGAGGAACAUGGCUCCCAACCCGUUGCUGAAGUGGACUAGUGCCAUCUGUAAGCAAAUGAUGAGCCUGUGCUCAUCUGGCUGAUCAAGAGGAGAAUUCACUGGGCACUGAGAAGAAUUCUUGUGCUUAAAUUGUCCAGCUCUCAGGAAACAACACCUUAUGGGUAUUAAAAUUAGGUGUCACUGUUGAAGAGUUGGUGGGAUGCACUGCUUCCACAGUAGUUACUGUGCUAAGAGUGUUUGUGUGAUAAUCCUAAACCACUAACACAAGAGCUAAACUAAAUACAUGAAUAUCAGGGCAGUUCUUACUCUGUCAAUCAAGACCCAGGUCUUUUAUCUUCUUCUGGCCCACCCAGUUACUGGAGUACUGGUUUCUAAUACACUUUUUAGAUUCCAGUUUCCCCAUACUGAAACCUGUAUUGUCACUACUGUUGUAACAUAAAUGGCAGACACAGUUGUUAACUAGUCCCUAGCUUGCUUUUGCAAACUCCUGACUGUUACUGAGAGUAGUUGCAAACUAUUGCAAUGUUAGUUCUCUCAGCCAUUUGAACGACUCUGACACCACAGAGGAUGAACAAUUUCACUUGUCCUCCUGCUGUAAUUACUGAGAGUUUGUAACAAUUACAUUAAAGAAAAACUAUUUGCUUUAUGUAGUUGUCUGUACAUGGAAGUGGGAGAAAAUACUGCAAGGUGAUUAUGAUAAAAACCAUGGAGGUCAGGGAGUGUUCUGGAUAACAACAACGAGUUCACUGACAAAGCGAACAAAGGACAAAAUCAACAUUUAUUUCCGAUGCCAGAAGUGGUUUUUCUCAGCUCUGCAUGAAGUGGUACUGGUGUGAAUGAGUUACACCACAGAUACACACUCUGCACAAGAGUGAACGGGCUGAGUUUGGGUGAAUGGCACCACACAGAGACAGUUCUAGUACCUAGGCUGGUGAAAGGUGAUUUGAACUGUUUUAGCUGCAAUAAGUGGUAGAAUAACGUAUUUGGAAAAACUGAGAAAGACAAAAGGAAACUAGCAAGGUAUAAAGGAUACAGUAGCCAUUUUGCAUAAUAUUGAAAUCAGUUAGUCCAAGAUUUGAGGUCUGACUCAAAAGCAUUGUAAGUUUGCAGUCUGAUUCAGCAAUAAGGGUGUAAACUGGUACAGACAAAUCACCUGGGCAAGGUGCAUGUAAAAAUGCAAAGAAUGAUUGGGGAAACAAUGAUGAGAACAAAAACAAAGUAAAAAUAAAAAUGUCCAAUAUAUAAAACAGGGCAUACAGUUCAUGACAGUUUAACUUCUAAGUGAUACAAUUCUACCCCUAUAGGAAAUGCCAAUGCAAACUUCACCAACAGUGUUUGUUCCUUUUAAAUAAGACAAUUCUGGAGACUGGGGGAGCAGUUAGAGGAAGGGGAAAGCUGAAUUUGUUACCUAAAAAUACAUUUACGGAUCAGUGAAUCCUUUUAACUUCCACAGGCUCACUUGCAAACGUAAAAUAUAAUAGAACAAUAUUUUUUGUUUUCUUAGUACAGAAUAAUUAUCAAGAGAAUGAGAAAUAUUAAAUAAUAAUAAAAUAUGAUGAAACUCUCAAGACUGGGAUAACUUUUUUCCCAACAGGUAGCAUAAUUUCUUUGUUAAUAAAAUAAUGAAAUACUAGAGAUGGGUCUUAAAUAAGCUAUUACUUACUUUUAUUUUUGCUUCAACCUUAAUUUAGCCCCAUCUUUCAUGACUGAUUUUUAUGUUCUGUGCCUCCUUAUACCCUCUUUUCUUUUAAUGCAAAGUAUUUCCUUGAAAAGAAGUCCCGUGCAAGCAAGCACACAAAAGUACUCGCUUGAUUUAUCUUCUGACAAAAUCCAACAACUCCAUUCAGGUUCAGGGCCCUAUUUUUACUACUGACUAAAGAGAAUGACACAGUCCUUUCUCUGUGAAGGUCAUGGUUUAAGUGCCUGAUUUCCUGAAUACUGUAUGAAAGAAGGAUGAUGAACUUAGCUGUUAUCAGCUACUUUGUGUGAAGAAAGGUGCGAGAUAAAGAGGAACUUUUCAUGCCUGAUCUCCUUUCAUUAUCUGUUGUGUUAAACUGCAGUGAGCAGGCCCUGAGAAGCCCAAUAUUUAAUGCAUUGGCUAUAACAGCACCGGGCAAUAGAUUCAUAGAGUGAUAUGGUACACACAGUUUACUUGCUGUAAAUAUGUAUAAUGCAAAGAAACACGUCCAUUUAUCACUUCUACCAGUAAGAACUCCUGCAGUGCAUAAAGAAAUUAAGGCAUCCAUAGGAGAAUGGGAAGUUUGAGCAGGAAUUUUGUUUUCAGGGGUGUAUAACCUACAAUGUCUGUUUUAAGGUUACAACAUUGAUGUGUAAUAGCAAUCACUAAUGAAAUGCCUGGAUGCCUAAACACAUUUUUUUAAGCUGUAGAUAAAUAGGAAAGAAUAAAACAAAACAUAGUAACUGUAAGGUUUGCUAUGUCUAGAAGUUGUAUAAAGUUGAAAUUUAAAGUGCUGAAAAAGGGAAGAGAAUGCAAGCAACCCAAGGAACAACAUGAAUGUUUACUCAACUAGAUUAGUUUAAUGGAUGUUUGCUUUUGUGUUGUUUUCUUACUUUUAUCUGUAUAAAAUCUAAAAAAAUUCUGCCAGUGACAUACAAUUUCCUUUUAGUUUUACUGUCACUUCAUUGUCAUUUUUCUGUAUUUUCAAACAACUGUUUAGUUUGCCAUGCUCAUUAAAACAUCAUUUCUUUGCACCUAAAGGAACUUGUAAAUGCUGGUUAACACACUAUGACACCAAGGCUUAUUAAGCAAGUUAUUUUAUCUUUCCCAUUCUCUUCCAAAGACAUGUAGGUAUACUUCAGUUAUUUAAAAUAAUUGUCUGGGUGCUCUCACAUUAUUCAGUGUAAAAUAUGAGAAUGGCAGAACUUUCCCACUGAUACACAUUUGCAGAAAUGACAUCUGUGAAACUGUAUUUAUAUGUUCUCUGCAUUCUCCUGCCCUAUUAGUGUUAGCAAGGUGUGAGGGAUCCUUUGUACUAUUCAUGUCAUAAGCUAUUCCCAGGCUAAUUUCUGAUCUCAGGAAAGAAAGGGUGUAAGCUGAGACUGUCAGAUCCUCAGUGAGAGCACAUACAUGGGAUAAAAAGGUAUCUCAAAAAGAGAACUGAAAAUUCUCUCACUGUCUCCUCAGGAAUGUGAAACUUGGCUUACUCAUACCAAGAUUAAUUUUUUUUUUAAUUAUCACUAUUGAAAUAAUAAACUGAAAUAGAAACUCUGAAAUAUAAUAUAUUAAAUUUAAAAACAUGUACAAAAUUAAA